rfam:Brevibacillus borstelensis AK1 seq_num_009, whole genome shotgun sequence.
UUCUUAUCGAGAGUGGUGGAGGGACUGGCCCGAUGAAACCCGGCAACCUUGGUCUGAUGGACCUUACGGUGCUAAAUCCUGCGGAGUUAUUCUGAGAGAUAAGAA